GGCCAGACUCCUACGGGAGGCAGCAGUGGGGAAUAUUGGACAAUGGGGGGAACCCUGGUCCAGCGACGCCGCGUGAGUGAAGAAGUAUUUCGGUAUGUAAAGCCCUGUCAGCAGGGAAGAAAAUGACGGUACCUGAAGAAGAAGCCCCGGCUAACUACGUGCCAGCAGCCGCGGUAAUACGUAGGGGGCAAGCGUUAUCCGGAUUUACUGGGUGUAAAGGGAGCGUAGACGGCGGCGCAAGUCCGGAGUGAAAGCCCGCGGCCCAACCGUGGGACUGCUCUGGAAACUGUGCGGCUUGAGUGCGGGAGGGGCAGGCGGAAUUCCUAGUGUAGCGGUGAAAUGCGUAGAUAUUAGGAGGAACACCGGCGGCGAAGGCGGCCUGCUGGACCGUAACUGACGUUGAGGCUCGAAAGCGUGGGGAGCAAACAGGAUUAGAUACCCCUGUA
rnacentral:rRNA from 1 species